ACAUUUAUAUACACGAUCUUAACGAUAAAAUUGAAACGAUACAGAAAAGAUUAGCAUAACCCUUGCGCAAGUAUCACAUAUGAUCUAAAGAGAAUAGUUAAAUCAAA